rnacentral:rRNA from 1 species
UCGUUAGGAAGGGAAACCCCGGGAACUGGGGAAAUACCUCAUAGGUUACGGAGGCUGGAAUGCCCUGUAACCCAAAGCUCCGGCGCCUCAGGAUGAGUCUGCGGCCGAUUAGGUUGUUGUUGGGGUAACGGCCCAACAAGCCGAUAAUCGGUACGGGUUGUGGGAGCAAGAGCCCGGAGAUGGAUUCUGAGACAUGAAUCCAGGCCCUACGGGGCGCAGCAGGCGCGAAAACUUUACAAUGCGAGCAAUCGUGAUAAGGGAACCCCGAGUGCCUGUACACGCAGGCUGUUCAGAUGUCUAAAACACAUCUGGAGAAAGGGCCGGGCAAGACCGGUGCCAGCCGCCGCGGUAAUACCGGCGGCUCGAGUGGUGGCCACUAUUACUGGGCUUAAAGCGUCCGUAGCUGGGUUGUUAAGUCUCCUGAGAAAUCUGCCGGCUUAACCGUCAGGCGUUCAGGAGAUACUGGCAAUCUCGGGACUGGGGGAGGUGAGAGGUACUCCGGGGGUAGGAGUGAAAUCCUGUAAUCCUCGGGGGACCACCUGUGGCGAAGGCGUCUCACCAGAACAGCUCCGACAGUGAGGGACGAAAGCUGGGGGAGCAAACCGGAUUAGAUACCCGGGUAGUCCCAGCUGUAAACGAUGCGCGUUAGGUGUGUCGGUAACCACGAGUUACCGAGGUGCCGUAGGGAAACUGCUAAACGCGCCGCCUGGGAAGUACGGUCGCAAGGCUGAAACUUAAAGGAAUUGGCGGGGGAGCAC